UCUAAAUUAAAAUUCUUAACCAAUUCAAAGUACUUCAAAAUAACCUAAUAAGUAACUCAAAAUAACAUAAAAUAACUAGGUGAAAUCCUAGAGAGAACUAAGCGGCAACAUCAGCGUCCACCAGUGCUUGCUUCAAUGGAACUUCCUCAACAACACCUGCUCCUAUCCAAGUGGAUGAUCAUCGCAAGAGAAAGCAUACCCAAGCAACAUACAACACAAAAGUAAGGGUGAGCUAGGUAAACAAACAACAUACAUAUAAUACAGUCAAUCAAUGUCAUCAUGCUUAAUUAAAUAUAAAAAGAACAAGCAAGGCAUACCAACCAAACCAUGCAUCAAAUACUCAACGCAACUCAUCUAGAUUUGGUAUAACAUGUCUAACUAUUGUUCGUCUUUGCACUUGCAUAGUUCAGCUGGCCCAUCCCCAACACUAUGCAAGGUAAGUCCCCUCAAUCUGUCUAUGCCUAAACUCCAAGACUAUAGACGAGGACCUCCCUCUACUCUCAUCACUCACAUUGUUCUUCUCUGUUUGAGUAUGAACAAUGCUCUAAGUGUAGGGAUAGACAUACCAUUUCAAAGCUCCCAACAAUUAUACAUACAACAACACCAUCUCUAUAAUCAUUCCCAAUAAUCUCUUCCUAAGAUGUUCAUUUCAUCAUUCUAAUUCACAGUCAUAUUCUUUCAAGCCACACAAUUCAAAUAUAUAUAUAUAUAUAUAUAUAUAUAUAUAUAUAUAUAUAUAUAUAUAUAUAUAUAUAUAUAUACACACACACACACACAUACAUUACACUAUGUCAAUCAAGCAACAUAACACCAAACUGAAAACCAUCUCAAAUAGAAAAUAUUGUUAUGUUAUCUCAAUCACACCAUAAAACUCUACAAUUUCUUGUAAAAUAAUACAUCCCCACAAAUAAAAUUAAUUUAAUUAAGUACACAAUAUCAUCAUAAAUCUAAACCAACAUUUAAUUAACACUAUUUAUAGUUUAUUCAGUUUCUAAAUAGAUUCUCCAAAACAAACUUCUUAUUAUAUUAUCCUAAUUUCCCUUAACUUUCUAUAAUAUAAUAUUUAAUUAUAUUCCAAAAGAUAUAUAUAUAUAUAUAUAUAUAUAUAUAUAUAUAUAUAUAUAUAUAUAUAUAUAUAUAUAUAUAUAUAUAUAUAUAUAUAUAUAUCAACAAACGGAUAUUACACUUAGCAAAAAUCCUUAUAUUAAAUAUAUUAUACGUCAUCUAUUUAAAAUAUAACAACAGCAUUGUAACUCCAUAAACUAAUAUCAUAAAAUAAUAUUAUAAGAAUACCAAUCAAAUAACAAUUAUGAUAAAUUUAUAUAAUAUAUUAUUAUAUAGCAUACAAAAUCACAAAACUAAACUAAAUCCAAAAGAAUUCCUACAACACGUAAAACUCCAACUUUUUCCAUAUUCAAUGUAUAAAUCAUAUCAUCAAUUUAUUUUUCUAACAUCAAUCUUGCAAUUAUUUUUCAACAAGGAUAGCAAGACUUUACACCAAUAUCAUGAUAGCAACCAACAAGCAUUUUAUGCACUUUUUACAGUCAUUACAACAAGUACUUUAUGCCAUAUUUACAAUAAUUACAACAAAUAUUUUAUAAUUACAGGAAAUAUAUUCUGCAGAUUUUUAACCCAAAAACAACAAAACUUUAAAAUUCCAAGCAGCAUUUUCGUUUAAACAGGAAAUAUUUUCAUUCAAACAACUAACAUUUUUUGGUGCAGAAAUUUUAAAAACAACAACAUUUUUCAUGACAAAACAAAGUAAAACAGCAACCAUUUUUUUGCAUAGUCAGGAAUUUGCAAAAUUUUUAACAGCUAACAACAAGCCUUUUUGACAGCAACCAGAAAAUGAUUUAGGUGCAAUACAACAUCCAGAACAGCACCAAACAACAAGGUUUUCUUGUGCAGAAACAAUAAUUAAAAUAGUGUGAAAAAAAUAAUUAAACAUAGGCAUUCUUUCACAAUUUCCACAAAAUUCAUCUAAUGCAUACAAGGAUUUCAUAGGGCGUAAAUAAAAAGAAAACUCAGCUCCCCUUACCUGGAAAUUUCACAACUCUAUACCAAAGCUUGGUUCUACAGUACCCCGGG
rnacentral:lncRNA from 1 species